GGGCAUUGGCGGGCAGCUUAACAUGCAGUCGAACGGUAACAGGGAGCUUGCUCCGCUGACGAGUGGCGAACGGGUGAGUAAUACAUCGGAACGUGCCCAGUAAUGGGGGAUAGCUCGGCGAAAGCCGGAUUAAUACCGCAUACGCCCUGAGGGGGAAAGUGGGGGACCGCAAGGCCUCACGUUAUUGGAGCGGCCGAUGGCUGAUUAGCUAGUUGGUAGGGUAAAGGCCUACCAAGGCGACGAUCAGUAGCUGGUCUGAGAGGACGAUCAGCCACACUGGGACUGAGACACGGCCCAGACUCCUACGGGAGGCAGCAGUGGGGAAUUUUGGACAAUGGGGGAAACCCUGAUCCAGCAAUGCCGCGUGUGCGAAGAAGGCCUUCGGGUUGUAAAGCACUUUUGUCAGGGAAGAAAUCCUUUGGGCUAAUACCCUAGGGGGAUGACGGUACCUGAAGAAUAAGCACCGGCUAACUACGUGCCAGCAGCCGCGGUAAUACGUAGGGUGCAAGCGUUAAUCGGAAUUACUGGGCGUAAAGCGUGCGCAGGCGGUUGUGUAAGACAGGUGUGAAAUCCCCGGGCUUAACCUGGGAAUUGCAUUUGUGACUGCACG
rnacentral:rRNA from 1 species